rnacentral:rRNA from 1 species
UACGUAGGUGGCAAGCGUUGUCCGGAUUUACUGGGUGUAAAGGGCGUGUAGCCGGGCUGACAAGUCAGAUGUGAAAUUCCGGGGCUCAACCCCGGACCUGCAUUUGAAACUGUUGGUCUCGAGUAUCGGAGAGGCAGGCGGAAUUCCUAGUGUAGCGGUGAAAUGUGUAGAUAUUAGGAGGAACACCAGUGGCGAAGGCGGCCUGCUGGACGACAACUGACGGUGAGGCGCGAAAGCGUGGGGAGCAAACAGG